UACAGAGACCUCAAGCGUUAUCCGGAAUCAUUGGGCGUAAAGCGUGCCGAUAGGUGGUUUUAUUAGUCUUGGGUAAAAGCCAGAAGCUUAACUUCUGAGUUUGCUUAAGAUACUGUAAGACUAGAGGGGCAAAGAGGUGCUUGGAACGAAUGGUGUAGUAGUGAAAUGCGUAGAUAUCUGGAGGAACACCGGUGGCGAAGGCGGCAUCCUGGACCAAUUCUGACACUGAGGAGCGAAAGCCAGGGGAGCAAACGGG
rnacentral:rRNA from 1 species